UCUCUCAAGACACAGGACAGUUUGUGGCAGGACAGAUGCCUAGCAGCACGAGUGCUUCACCAGGCAUCAGGCGUUGCCAUGCUUUGGUUUCUUUGGUCUAAAUAUGCCGGAGUUCAAACUUUCACUUCCGGAUACUUAAGGCCAGUGGGAAAUUCACACUCCAGAGGUACAAAAUGCCUGUCAAGGGGACUCUCCCUCUGCUGAGAAAGAUCUUCUCACUAUUCAAGUGUCACCUUCAUCACCAAAGGGAACCUAACCCAUGGAAUCUAACUUGGCUUUGAGUCCUAGGAGAACAGAGAUAAUGUGUCUGUGUUGGUCACUGUGGAAUCCCUGGGGUCCUGGACAGGGCCUCCCAUGUGACAGGUACUUUUCCAGUCAUUGGGAUGCAAUCGUGGACAAAGCAAACAAAAUCUUUGCUUUCGUGGAGCUGAUAUUCAAGAGUUUGUGUGUGUGUGCACGCAUUUCUGUGGGAAACAGAGGACACAGAUAAAUUAGGCUAUCAGAGUUAUAAUAGUGAACAUGAAUCAACACUAUUUGGUGCAAUGGGGGAGAAGACGCAGUCUUUUAUUUGUUUGGAUUCCAGAUCAUCAGAAGUUAUGUCAACGGUCAUGCUGG